AAAGCAGCUCCAUGUUAGAGGAGUGGGGCUUGAGUUCCUGUGGGAUUGGUCACACUCAGCUCUUCCUGUGUCAGUCACAGGUUUGGAAGAAACCCCGCUGUGUAGCUAAAGCAGUGGACCUACUAGAAAUGAUGAAAUACUUUAGAAAAGGUGAAACAGUCAGACUAGAAUAUGAGGAAGCUCUGCUGUUGGCUGCUCUGUUCCUCAUAUGAGGCGAGUAGGUGCUGAUGGAGUCUGUCCUGUGUCUGGGAUCCACAAGCAGCUUUCUAUCCCCUUAGAGCAGGUGUUCAUUGCUGUGUUUCUGUGCAGAUAGAAGUUUUCAGUGCACACACUCCCUUACCUUUAGCAAGCUGGUUUGUGUACAGCUGUUUCUGUUCCCUUCAAGGACCUGAUACUUCUGCAAUGGGUCCCUCUGAGCUAAUUCUAACACGAGGAACUCUCGAUGAAGAGCAAGAAGAGAGGGAGAGUGACACUGAUGACAUUGACCAUGAAGUGACUGAGGAGAGUCAUGAAGAACCAGCCUUCAGAAACUUUGUGCAGGACAUGCAGAUAAAAUGUCAGAGGAGAAGCAACCCGAAUAAAUGAGAUCUUCAGAAACAGAAGUAACUGUUGGUCCGAUGAGUUAAAGGUCUUGCAGCCAACUGACUGCACAUUUGGCCAUCUGCCACUGUGGCUUCCUGAAGCUGAACGAACCAGAAAGCAGUUUCUUUUCCUGCAAAUUCUUCAGAUCUCUCUGUUGAGAGCUUAGAUUUUGAGCUCUGACAGCAUGAGCAUCCAGAGUACCCACUGGUCCCCAGAGGCACCUUCCAUUUGCUGAGUGCAGUCAGGCAUCUGCUGCAGCCAGGGCACAAUUUGAUCAAUCCACUGUUUGAUGUUUUGGUUUUCAUUAAAUAGAUUUUAGGUACUAAGAAAUGCGUGAUGGUUAAUAGAAGGAGAUUUCAUGUCACCAUUCUAAGGUGAGACUUUUCCCCCGUGCUUGCAGCCUAUCCAUAUGGAUGCACAGCAAAUGCAUCUUA